rnacentral:rRNA from 1 species
UACGUAGGGCGCAAGCGUUGUCCGGAAUUAUUGGGCGUAAAGGGCUCGUAGGCGGUCUGUCACGUCGGGAGUGAAAACUCAGGGCUUAACCCUGAGCCUGCUUCCGAUACGGGCUGACUAGAGGUAUGCAGGGGAGAACGGAAUUCCUGGUGUAGCGGUGAAAUGCGCAGAUAUCGGGAGGAACACCAGUGGCGAAGGCGACUUCCUGGCCUGUUCUUGACGCUGAGGCGCGAAAGCUAGGGGAGCAAACGGGG